ensembl:lncRNA
CCUGAAUCUACUCAGAGUGUCCAGUCCCUAUUCCAUCAACUGGCAAUGCAGCACAGCCCGUUCCCUAUGGCGUAACAGAACUACCCACCACCAAAGGACCAAGCAGCAUGGCCAGGAGGAGCAGGGAUCCUUAGCCCGGGAGAAGAGGGAGUGGAGGACCUCAUGGACAUGAGAGGAGGUUAUGGCAGGGGACAAGACCCUGCCAUGGAAACAGGCGGAAACAGCAAGGGAGCAGCGGCGGCGAUACCAGGAGUCACGGCAAUGAGGCAAGCACGAGCGGCAGCUCCCAAUUUUGUGGGGGGGUUGGGGCACACGGUGAGUGUGGCAGAGUCAGGGUUCAGACCUGAGCCAACUCCUCGUGCUUACCGUAGGGAGUGUGGUACUGGUCAGGCACCGUGUUAUGUGGUGGAGCGCACAGUGUCUAAAGUGCGUUUUCACAGCCCGGUGCUCUACAUUCCAGCUCCCCGCAUUCGACGGGCUAGAGUGGGCAUCCAGCCAGGACGGAUGGCCUCCAGUGAUGAUUCAUGGCACGAAGCCUCCAGUGAUGAUCCAUGGCAUGAAGCCUCCAGUGAUGAUCCAUGGCACGAAGCCUCCAGUGAUGAUCCAUGGCACGAAGCCUCCAUUGAUGAUUCAUGGCACGAAGCCUCCAGUGAUGAUCCAUGGCCCGGAGUCUGCAGUGAAGAUCCAUGGCACGAAGCCUCCAGCAUUGAUCCGCGGUCCGGAGCCUCCAGCGACGGUCCCCGGUCCGGAGCCGUGCAUCUGCACAGCCCAUCCCAGUGUUGUCAUUUUGUGAGGUGUCCAUGCUGUGGAGAAUGACAUCUUAGGACAUGCACUAUGUGCCCAGGUCAAAAGUAGUGCACUAUAAAGGGAAUAAAGUGCCAUGUGGGAUGCAGACGUCUUUCCCCUCUCAGUUUUAUGGGCUCCCGAGUGGUGGAGGCGGUCUAAGGCACUGCAUCUCAGUGCUAGAGGCGUCACUACAGACCCUGGUUCGUUUCCAGGCUGUAUCUCAACCGGCUGUGAUUGGGAGUCCCAUAGGGCGGCGCACAAUUGGCCCAGCAUCCUCCGUGUUAGGGUUUGGCCGUCAUUGUGAAAAUGAUUUUGUUCUUAAGUUACUUGCCGAAUUAAAUAAAGGUUAAAUAAAAAAUUAAAUAAUAAAGUUUGGCCUGCUGCACAGAAAUCUCAUAUGCCUUAACUACAGAAGGUUUCAGACAGUACGCAGACCGUAGGUUGUACAUGGCAAUGAGGAGACGUAAAAAUUCCUGAUUGUUCCCACUGCUAAACACCUCUCUCCAGAUUUCAGGAAUACCAUUGAAGGUAUUUUCAUUAGGUAGAAAAACAGCUUGCAGGCGUUAUGCUCAUGUGAUUAUUCACAUUAAGUCAGGGAAGAGAGAGACGAGCUAACUCCAUGUUAAGUGUUUGCUAUUAAAAACUAAUGCCCCAUGUAAUUCAAUUACGUUUUUGAAAUUGGUAUCUCAUGAUGUCGAAUAUGAUUUACUAUUGGGUCAUAAAAUCAUCAGUGUUUUAUCCUCUGCCUGUAAAU